UAUAAAUUUAGUUUCUAAUUUUGUUUUGCACUUGUUCUAAAUGUUUCGAAGUGAUUUUAUCUUUCCAUAGAGUACUUCAGAAUAUACGUUUCAGUUCCAGUGUGUAUUAUAGUGUGUAUUUAUUUAUUUAAAUUCUUGGCCGAUCCCUCACUCUUAAUGUUAUUGAUUGAAAGACACUUCCAUACAGGUUUUUUUUUUCUUAUUCAGAAUGACUUAAUAUCCGAGUUUAUAUAGCCUAGUUUUUAUAUCUGGUAUGGAUGCUUUUACCUCAAGUUGUUUUUUUGCUACUAACGUGGACUGUUGGAACUCAUACAGUUUUUUUCCGUAUUCAAAAAGACUUUUAUACUUGUGUGUACAUAGGUCUUUAUACCUGGGACCUUUUACUUAUCAAUUACCUGAAUCAUAAAGUGGACAUCUGCACUCCAACACUCUGCAGUCCUGCAGUCUCCAGGGGCGCUAUCCCGCUCUGACACCAAUGUGACAGGGUAGCGUCACGGCCCACAAUGUUACCGGCAGAGAGAGAGGGAUCUCUGAACCCCUCUCUGCCCCACCUCUGACACACCGCCUGGGCCCCCUUCAUGGUGCUGCCUGCAUUAAUGAUGUCAUCGUGCUAAACGUCAUCAUGGCUCUCAUUUCCACGAUGGUAGCGUAGAUGAGCGUGUGGUACAUGCUGUCACAAGGAAGAAGAGAGGAGAUGCUAGCGUGGCACAGCGGGAUGGCAAAAAGACUCCCGUUGCGCAGCAGUGUGAUCCAUUGCUGGUCUUACUGGGAGUUUAAUAGUCAGACACACCUGAGCUAGUUACCUAUACACGCUGUGGCUAAUCAAACAAUACACUCCGCAGCACUGAAUAACUGAAAAAGUGAUUCCAUGCUAGAUCUCUCAACACUUUUCCUUCAUGUUUAAAUUUAUGUUGCUACUACAUUAAAAAUGUUUGUUUAACUAUGCAACUUGUACAUGACACUUGUACUUCUGCUAAGAAAUAAAUA